rnacentral:rRNA from 1 species
GAUGAACGCUGGCGGCGUGCCUAAUACAUGCAAGUCGAGCGAACAGACGAGGAGCUUGCUCCUCUGACGUUAGCGGCGGACGGGUGAGUAACACGUGGAUAACCUACCUAUAAGACUGGGAUAACUUCGGGAAACCGGAGCUAAUACCGGAUAAUAUAUUGAACCGCAUGGUUCAAUAGUGAAAGAGGGUUUUGCGGUACUUUAUGGAUGAUUCCGCGCCGCAUUAGCUAGUUGGUAAGGUAACGGCUUACCAAGGCAACGAUGCGUAGCCGACCUGAGAGGGUGAUCGGCCACACUGGAACUGAGACACGGUCCAGACUCCUACGGGAGGCAGCAGUAGGGAAUCUUCCGCAAUGGGCGAAAGCCUGACGGAGCAACGCCGCGUGAGUGAUGAAGGUCUUCGGAUCGUAAAACUCUGUUAUUAGGGAAGAACAAAUGUGUAAGUAACUAUGCACGUCUUGACGGUACCUAAUCAGAAAGCCACGGCUAACUACGUG